rnacentral:rRNA from 1 species
GACGAACGCUGGCGGCGUCGCUUAACACAUGCAAGUCGAGCGGUAAGGCCCUUUCGGGGGUACACGAGCGGCGAACGGGUGAGUAACACGUGGGUGACCUGCCCUCAGCUCUGGGAUAAGCCUGGGAAACCGGGUCUAAUACUGGAUAUGACUCCAUGACGCAUGUUGUGGGGUGGAAAGCCUUGUGCGGCUGAGGAUGGGCCCGCGGCCUAUCAGCUUGUUGGUGGGGNGAUGGCCUACCAAGGCGACGACGGGUAGCCGGCCUGAGAGGGCGACCGGCCACACUGGGACUGAGACACGGCCCAGACUCCUACGGGAGGCAGCAGUGGGGAAUCUUGCGCAAUGGGCGAAAGCCUGACGCAGCGACGCCGCGUGAGGGACGACGGCCUCGGUGUAA